rnacentral:rRNA from 1 species
AGUAGUGGCGAGCGAAAGCGCAGGAGCCCAAACCAAGGUGCUUGCACCUUGGGGUUGCGGGACCGGGUCGUGGUACCAGGACGGUUAGGCGAAGGAGCUGGAAAGCUCCACCACAGCGGGUGAAAGUCCCUUAGCCGAAAGCCCUACUGGACCUACCGGCAUCCCAAUUAGGACGGUGCACGUGAAACGCCGUCUGAAUCCGGGGGGACCACCCUCCAAGGCUAAACACUCCCUGAUGACCGAUAGUGAACGAGUACCGCGAGGGAAAGGCGAAAAGAACCGCUGCUAGCGGAGUGAAACAGACCUGAAAUCGUGCGUCCACAAGCUAUGGAAGCGUCAUUCGUGACGCGACCGUUUGCCUUUUGCAUAAUGAGUCCGCGAGUCAACGUAGCGAGCGAGGCUAACCGAAAGGGGAGCCGAAGCGAAAGCGAGUCCGAACAGGGCGAUCCCAGUUCGUUGCGUUGGACCCGAAGCCCAUGCGAGCUAUCCUUGGACAGCGUGAAGCCUCCGUAACAGGAGGUGGAGGUGCGAACGAGUGACCGUUGAAAAGGUCUUCGAUGAGCUGAGGAUAGGAGCGAAAGACUUAUCAAGCUGGGUAAUAGCUGGUUCUCUCCGAAAUGCCUUUAGGGGCAGCCUCGGACAACACUUCCGCUGGGUGUAGAGCACUGAUCGAUCUAGGGUCCCUACCGGGAUACCGAAGUCCGUCAAACUCCGAAGACCAGCGCGAUUGCAUAUCCGGGAGUGAGACAGUGGGGGCUAAGCUUCAUUGUCGAAAGGGAAACAGCCCAAGACCGCCGAAUAAGGUCCCAAAUCUGCGUUAACACACUAAGGCAGUGAAGUCUCUCAGACAGGUAGGAUGUUGGCUUAGAGGCAGCCAUCAUUUAAACAGUGCGUAACAGCUGACUACUCGAGAGACUCCGCGCCGAAAAUGAUCGGGAGUCAAACGCAGAACCGAAUUCGCGGGCCGCACCUCUGGUGCGACGGUAGGAGAGCGUAAUAGUCCGGGUUGAAGCGGUGCGCGGAAGCGGCCGUGGACUGACUAUUAGUGAUUAUGCGGACAUGAGUAACGAAAAACCGGGUGGAAAUCCCGGUCGCCGGAAUCCCAAGGCUUCCCGGGGCAGGUUCGUCCGCCCGGGGUCAGUCGGGACCUAAGACGAGGCCGAAAGGCGUAGUCGAUGGACAGCAGGCUAACAUUCCUGCACAUGUGGGGGUUUAAGUUCGGAUUGGAGAAGGACAGUGACGGGGGUCAAUGGUUAUCCCCUGGGGCUCGGGGCAACCGGGUUUCCGAGCUUCCGGUACGCCGGGAGCAAGGCCAUGCGUCCAUGCUUCCCAGAAAAGUCCUUACGCAUUAACCCGCAUCCCGUACCAAAACCGACACAGGUGGGAGGGUACAAGGAUACCAAGGCGCGCGAGAGAAACCUCGUUAAGGAACUCGGCAACAUAGCCCCGUAACUUCGGGAGAAGGGGUCCUCUGGGGUAAUGCCCAGAGGGGCACUAAAUGGGCCCAUGCGACUGUUUAACAAAAACAUAGCACUCUGCGAACGCGCAAGCGGAUGUAUAGAGUGUGACACGUGACCAAUGCGGAAAGGUCAAGGCAAGGGGUCAGCCGCAAGGCGAAGCUCCGAACCAAAGCCCCCGUGAAUGUCGGCCGUAACUAUAACGGUCCUAAGGUAGCGAAAUUCCUUGUCGGGCAAGUUCCGACCUGCACGAAUCGUGUAACGCUGUGGGCGCUGUCUCAACGAGGAUCUCGGUGAAGUUGUAAUGCCGGUGAAAAUGCCGGAUACCCGCAGAAGGACGGAAAGACCCCAUGAACCUUUACUGUAUCCUGGUACUGGAUUCUGGUUGAGUAUAUGUAGUAUAGCCGGGAGGCUUGGAAGCGUUCUCGUCAGGGAGCGUGGAGCCGCAAUGUGAAAUACCGGUUUUGCUCAGGCGGAGUUCUAACCCUUAGCCGUCAUCCGGCGAGGGAACAAUGCCAGGGGGUCAGUUUGACUGGGGCGGUUUCCUCCCAAACAGUAACGGAGGAGUUCGAAGAUCGGCUCAGCACGGUCGGCAAUCGUGCGUCGAGCGCAAGGGUAGAAGUGUGCCUCACUGCGAGACGGACACGUCAAGCAGACGCGAAAGCGGGACCUAGUGAUCCGGCGGUGGCUUGUGGAAGCGCCGUCGCUCAACGGAUAAAAGG